rnacentral:rRNA from 1 species
GCGUGCUUAACACAUGCAAGUUGUACGACGGUCUCCGGAGGUAGAAAUACGGAAGGGGAUACGGAGUAGCGGACGGGUGAGUACAACAUGAGAAGCUAUCCCAUAAAGGGGGACAACGUUUGGAAACGAACGCUAAUACCCCAUAGGCCGAGAGGUUAAAGCAGAGAUGCGAUAUGGGAGGUGCUCGUGCCCUAUCAGCUAGUUGGUGAGGUAACGGCUCACCACGGCGACCACGGGUGCCCGGCCUGAGAGGGCGACCGGCCACACUGGAACUGAGAUACGGUCCAGACUCCUACGGGAAGGCAGCAGUGGGGAAUAUUGGGCAAUGGGAGAAAUCCUGACCCAGCAACGCCGCGUGAACGAAGAAGGCCCUUGGGUCGUAAAGUUCUUUUGUGCGGGAAGAAAACAAUGACGGUACCGCAGGAAUAAGCCCCGGCUAAAUACGUGCCAGCAGCCGCGGUAAUACGUAGGGGGCGAGCGUUGUCCGGAAUUACUGGGCGUAAAGGGCACGCAGGCUGUGCCGCAAGUCGGCUGUUAAAAAAUGCGGCUUAACCGUGUUUCGCAGUCGAAACUGCGGUACUGGAGUACCGAAGAGGCAAGUGGAAUUCCCAGUGUAGCGGUGAAAUGCGUAGAUAUUGGGAAGAACACCGGUGGCGAAGGCGACUUGCUGGUCGGUAACUGACGCUAAUGUGCGAAAGCCAGGGGAGCAAACGGGAUUAGAUACCCCGGUAGUCCUGGCGGUAAACGAUGAAUGCUGGGUGUGCGGGUAGAGAUAUCGGCGUGCCGUAGUUAACGCGAUAAGCAUUCCGCCUGGGGAGUACGGUCGCAAGAUUGAAACUCAAAGGAAUUGACGGGGGCCCGCACAAGCGGUGGAGCACGUGGUUUAAUUCGAUGCAA